rnacentral:rRNA from 1 species
CGUACACUCCUGCGGGAGGCAGCAGUGGGGAAUAUUGGACAAUGGGCGCAAGCCUGAUCCAGCCAUGCCGCGUGAGUGAUGAAGGCCCUAGGGUUGUAAAGCUCUUUCACCGGUGAAGAUAAUGACGGUAACCGGAGAAGAAGCCCCGGCUAACUUCGUGCCAGCAGCCGCGGUAAUACGAAGGGGGCUAGCGUUGUUCGGAUUUACUGGGCGUAAAGCGCACGUAGGCGGACUAUUAAGUCAGGGGUGAAAUCCCGGGGCUCAACCCCGGAACUGCCUUUGAUACUGGUAGUCUUGAGUUCGAGAGAGGUGAGUGGAAUUCCGAGUGUAGAGGUGAAAUUCGUAGAUAUUCGGAGGAACACCAGUGGCGAAGGCGGCUCACUGGCUCGAUACUGACGCUGAGGUGCGAAAGCGUGGGUAGCAAACAGGAUUAGAAACCCCAGUAGUCCCAUG